AUGGCGUCGCCGUUGUCUGAGAUUCCCGAGGACGUGCUACACCUCAUCAUCGACGGCCUCGUUUCCUCCACUGAUCGGCGUGGCCUCGUCUCCACGGCGUGGUCUGGACUACGCCGGCUCCUCCACUUCUCCGAUGGUUUCGAGGCGGCGCGCCGUGCCCGGCACUCGGUCUCGGCCGAUCGCGCUCGCUUCCGGGCCGUCUGUCGUUCGUGGCACUUGGCUAUGCGCCAGCACGUUCCGGCUCCAAGGCAGAUCCCCUGGAUUGUCAUGUCCGAUGGCUCGUUCCUCACACCUUCGGACGUUGCCGGCACCUCGCCCGCGCGCAUCCCCUCCUUGCCCAGGAACGCGAGAUGCGUAGCCUCGGCUGAUAGUUGGCUCCUUCUCGACCGCACGGAUGUCAGGAAGAAGAUGCAUAGCUACUUCUUGCAUGAUCCCUUCACCAACACGACUGUGCCGCUCCCAGAGCUUGACGCUGUGAUCGGCCAUGCUUCUGAGCUUUUCGGGGUCCACAAACUGCGGAAGGGUGUGUGGUUGCCUAAGCCACAAACUGCUCCCUUCAUCUACAUCGUCGACACUGCAUUUCUUGGAGACAAGCUAUAUGGAAUCACUCACGCCGAGGAUCUUGUCUCUUUUGAUGAGGUCGCCAAUAAUGAGGAACAGAGCAAAGAGGACACCAUAGAGCAACGCCGGAAGAAAACCGGCGAUGACAUGAUUCUUGAAGGCAUUACUGCUUGGUCGGAUGAUGAGGAUGAAGUUAGGGACCACUGGUACUUAGUCGAGUCAUGUGGAAAACUAUUAAUGGUGAUACGACAAGUUCGAGUGCCCUCCAUAAUAUCAGCUCCACUCUCAAGGUAG
rnacentral:rRNA from 1 species